GUCUGUGAAAUUAAGGAAAGAAAAAAAAAGAACAAGGAAAUGAGAGAAAGCAACUAUAUUUGAAACAAUGAGAAGUCUCUGGAGUUGUGCUUAAUGGCCUUUGUCACCCUGCAGGGGCAUGAGGAGGGCUGCUGAUGAGUCAACUGUCCUGGAAACAGACCUGCGUUAAGUAGAGAGCCAGAGAGGCAUCCGCAAAGAUGAAAAGAUUUCGUUUAAAACACAGAACGCUGGAUUGCCCUGUGGCUCGCACGAUGCAGAGAUUGAAAUUCACGAUUUAAGCCCGGGCCUGGCAUACAGAAUGAAAUGAACAGUGAAGCCAGAUCUUGUGUUCAGGUCUGUCUGACUCCAAAAAGCAAACCACCCUGCCUCUUAACCACUGUUCAACUCAGACAGUUUGCCCCAGCCACAUUGGCCUCUUCGUCAGUCUCCAGACCCACCAACUUGCUUUUGCCCCGGGGUCUUCACUAUUGUUCUUCAGUUGAAAUGCUUUUCUCCUGGGUAUGUAUAAUGAGACUUGCUCUGUUUGUGGCCUGUUGAU